UCAUAAUACAGUCCAAAGGGACCUAUACAACCAGGACAUCCAGCAGAACAUUACAUUGGUCUACUACAUUGAUGACACCACGUUAAUUGGACCUUAGGAGCAAGAAAUGGCUCUGCCAGCCUAGAGAUCCUAAUACUCAGACAGGGGAUACUUCCAUCAGAGGACACUGUAAGAGUCUCACUCAACUUAGAGCUAUGGCUGCCGUCUUAGAGCUUUGGGCUCCUAUUGCCAGAAGACUGACAAGCAAAUCAUCAGAAUGAGCAGCUGAUGCAGUCUUCUUGAACGCGGGACUUCCAGUGGCAACCUCAGAGCUCUCUUCUCAGGUGGGUCCUGUAAGAAUGUGGGAGUCAGUCUGAAGUUCAGCCUACAGCACUCUCCUUUAUCCAUGGCAAGAUUUCGUAGGUCCCAAUUCUCUGUAAUAAAUACCUUUCUG
rnacentral:lncRNA from 1 species